rnacentral:tRNA from 1 species
GGGUGUUGCUCAAUGGUAGAGCACUUGCCUAGCAUGUGUGAGGCCCUGGGUUCCAUCCCCAGCAUUGCA